rnacentral:rRNA from 1 species
GACGUAGGGCGCGAGCGUUGUCCGGAUUUAUUGGGCGUAAAGAGCUCGUAGGCGGUUUGUCGCGUCUGCUGUGAAAUCUUAGGGCUUAACCCUGAGCUUGCAGUGGGUACGGGCAGACUAGAGUGCGGUAGGGGAGACUGGAAUUCCUGGUGUAGCGGUGAAAUGCGCAGAUAUCAGGAGGAACACCGGUGGCGAAGGCGGGGUCUCUGGGCCGUAACUGACG